AUGUUUUUCAGACUUUCACAUAUGUAUGUGGUGCAUAGACUUGAGAAGCCUUCGCAGUGGCCAGGGCAACAGCUGAGCUGGCUGGGCACAGGACUUGCAUGCCUGAGGCUCCCCGUUCCAUCUCCAGGGGCUUGCACGGUGCACUCUACCUCAGGACUGGGAAUCCCAGCGGCGGCCUGGAGAGGUCAAGUUACAGUCUAAGAACAAGGAGAGGGUGCUGCCUUGGAGGUGACUUGGCUACAAGAGGAAGAGGCUAGAAGUGGAGAAGCUGUUCAUCCUUCCUCCCCUCAAUGAGUUGCUUUGAGGAGCAAUGCCAUGUGCCCCCUCUCUGAAGACAUUCUGUUUCCCGACAGGCUGCACUGCUAAGUAGAUGCCUCUCCCUGCAUCCCUGCAUCCUCUCCCUGCAUCCCUGCAUCCUCUCCCUGCAUCCCUGCCCCGCUAAUGUUCCUUCAGCAGAACAUGGGCUCACAAGCUGUAACUUCAUAUUCUGCUAGAGAAUUUGGAGACGAGAAUAUUUCCGUACCUUUAGCUCAAGGUGGUAGAUUUGGUUUGUUUCAUCUCACAUGCUGAUUUAUUUUUAACCAGAGAAUUGCUGAGCUGUGACUGCCGAUCGGUCAGUUGGUCAGUGCUAGGGACCAGACCUGGGACCACUGGAAGCAAGUCCUAUGACCACCUCUGUGUGAUCUCCCCAGUCAGAUGCUGGUUUUGAUCAGGUGGUCUGGCCAUCUUAAUGGCCGUGCUGAGAAGGGGUCUGAAACUCUGUUCUAAACUCAGCUGGAAAGAGACUCAUGAUUUAUAAGCACUAUCUGGAAGCACGUUUGAAAUGAGAUUGGCAGGAGAGUAGAAUGCAUGAGCCAAAUUGACUUCCUGGAGGUUAUCCAAUUUUGUGUGGCAGGUGGCGUGAUGUUCUCACAUGCAAUAUUGAGUGUUAUUGUUCUUUUUUCAUCUCUUCUAGUUUGAUUGGUUAAAAUAAAUUGUAUUUUAUUUUAA